rnacentral:rRNA from 1 species
AACGUAGGUUCCGAGCGUUAUCCGGAUUUACUGGGCGUAAAGCGCGUUCAGGCGGUUUGGCAAGUCGGGCAUGAAAUCUCUCGGCUCAACCGGGAGAGGUUGUCCGAUACUGCUGGACUUGAGGGCAGUAGAGGGUGGUGGAAUUCCCGGUGUAGUGGUGGAAUGCGUAGAUAUCGGGAGGAACACCAGUGGCGAAGGCGGUUACCUGGAGCUUUGCUGACGCUGAUGCGCGAAAGCGUGGGGAGCGAUCCGG